rnacentral:lncRNA from 7 species
GAUCUUGUGGAGGUUUGUUCGUGAGCAGAGGUCGUGCCAGCAGCUCCUCUAGGAGCUGUGGGUGUGCUUUUCAUGGGCCACGAGAGGAGGUGAAGCAACCUGCUUUGAAGAGUGGAAAGGAGCGCUUUGCCUAGUUUGGAAGACUGGUGACAUGAAAGUUUUCUUGGAGCGUGGUCCGGUGUUUCAGCUGGUACAAACUGUCAAGACUUGAAGAGAACUGACAGAGGUGUGCAGAUGAGAAUCCAGCCCCCACUUCCCUCUGUGCCUGGAGCUGUGCCAGCUGCUCUGUCAGGUGCAGAAUUAACUUCACCAGCACAGACUUCUGCUUGUGAGGGUGGGAAAUGCAGCACCAGUUGCCCCAACAACAGCUGGACUUUGGAAGCCAUUGAGUCUUGGGAUCUGGCUGGGAUCUGUUUUAUUCCAAGCUGAUUCCGCUGUUGGUGGGUUGCCACUUUGCUCUUAGCCAGAACAGGUGACAGAGGGGCAGGGCUGUAAACUGUGAGGAAGAGUGUACAGCCAUGCGUUGUGUGCCGUUCUGUGUCAGUUUUUGACUGUGAUGAACAUUAUUAAUAAUUGCAUACACCUAGCUAAAUGUCUUCUGAUAGGCACCUGGUGAUCAGCCUUUUUAUCAGAUAGAUUUCAGAGAAUGAAUGUAAAAGGUUUUUUUUGGUGUUUCCUUCUGUAAUCUGUUUUCUGAGCCAGCUGAGUUACUUGUGCCACUAGGAGACACGCUGCAAUUGAAUUAGGUACUGCUAAUUCACCGCAAUACAAACUUCUAUCAAUUUUAUUUUAUGAAUUAGUAACCUUGUUUACCCUCUGAGCAAGGGAGCUCAGAGACAAAUGCAAAUUAAGAGUUUCUCAUACAAAGAGUAUGAAAAAAGCAUAGCUGAAGCAUUUGUUUCCUGGCACCUGCUGAAUUUCCACUUUUGCAGGAAGGGGGUUGGGACUCCUAUGACUGUUAGUUUUUUGUGGUUUUCCAAAUUCUAUCCAUCUUUUUCCAUAUGUGUUCAUCGUUACUUCUAAUUAGUAGUACUAAGCAGCUAACACACCAUUUUUAUUAAAAAAAAAUAAUAAAAAAAUCCAGCAUCAACUUGACUGGUAUGCUAUAUAUAAGCAGGACUGCUGCUAUAAUUAUUUUAAAGCUUUGGUGUGCUUUCUGCUAAAGUCUUUGUGCUUGCAUUGCAUCUGGAGUAAGAAGUGUAAUUAAUUGCAGUGCACUUCUGGGGAAACAAAGUACAAUCAUUUGGUCUCAGUACCACACAUUUUGUGAAAACCACCCCACAGACACUGAAUUGGAUGGCCAGCAGUUUACGACCAUGCAGCUAAUAGCAAGCUUUAGGUUAUUUUUGACUCAGCCUUCAAGCUUCAUGCAUCUGAAGUCUCCAAGGUCUCUCAUUACCAUCUGAGAAACAUAGCUUCUAGGUUGCAGCAUUUUCUGUCUCCUGCUGAUACUGAAGUUCUGAUUCAAGUCUUUUUCUUUUCUGGGAUUGAUGACUGCAAUUGUCUCAUUCCCUGCUUACCUACUUCUGGUAGAAAUAGACUUGAACUGGUGUGGAGAUGUGCUACAAAAGUGAUUUCCAAGCUUGAGAUCAUCAGCACAUUGCUCCUAAGUUCAGUAGCGCUACCAUGGCUUUGAGAUAAAUGCUGUAUAGAUCUUAAGGUUUUGUUGCAAAAGGAGAUUUUUACAGUUACAUAUCUGACUUAGUAAGAUUUAGGAAAUGAAGAUCACAAGGAAUUCAUCUCUAUCCUUAGUUAAUCCUACCGAAUGUGCGUUUAUAUGUUGACAGUAGUUACAAAUUACUAUGAUCUAGAACGUUUAUUCUUCAGACAGCUUGUUAUAUCUCACUGCUUACUUGCAUCUAUCCACAAUAUAUUUGGAGGGACAAAAAUAGUAAAACUUUGCUAUAAUUGAGACUUCCAAAUAUAAUUGAGCUUCCCAAGGUGCAUUUAUCUGUUGGGUAGGGUCUCCCCUGAGAUGUUUCUUACAAUUGGUGUGUCAGUCCUUUAUUUCUCCCAAAUCUCCAGUGAAAUUUAAAAUUAGAAGGCAUGUUAUCGAGUCCUUUUUCAGGUAAAGCUAUAGCUGGAAGUACUGUUGACUUCCGUGUCAGAUGGCCUUAUUAAGAUAGUGUUAUUAAAAAUGAAUACAGAAAAGGGCCUCACCUGCUCAACGUGGCUUUUCUAAAAGCCCCAGCUUCUUUUCAUUAACAAAGUGUACAAAUACAGUUCCACUGUUUGAUCCCCAGAAGGAUGAUUAGUAUGCCAUUUUGGUUUUGCUGUUGUAAAACAGGCUUUGUUGUAUCUUGUCCCUAUGUCAAGUUUCCAAUGAUUGGUAUUGUUUUCUGUUCUCUAAGUAAAGAAGUUCAAAAUUGCACCUUAGCAUCUUUUUCCAUCAAUAAAUAAAAUCUGUGUGAUUGUUAGUUAGAUUUUUU